GAUGAAAACGCAGCGAAAUGCGAUAAGUAAUGUGAAUUGCAGAAUUCAGUGAAUCAUCGAAUCUUUGAACGCACAUUGCGCCCGCCAGUAUUCUGGCGGGCAUGCCUGUUCGAGCGUCAUUACAACCCUCAGGCCCCCGGGCCUGGCGUUGGGGAUCGGCGGAGCCCCCCGUGGGCACACGCCGUCCCCCAAAUGCAGUGGCGGUCCCGCCGCAGCUUCCAUCGCGUAGUAGCUAACACCUCGCGACUGGAGAGCGGCGCGGCCACGCCGUAAAACACCCAACUCUUCUGAAGUUGACCUCGAAUCAGGUAGGAAUACCCGCUGAACUUAAGCAUAUCAAUAAGCGGAGGA
rnacentral:misc_RNA from 1 species